rnacentral:rRNA from 1 species
UACGGGGGGCUGCAGUGGGGAAUCUUGCACAAUGGGGGAAACCCUGACCGAGCGACGCCGCGUGAGGGAUGAAGGCCCUUGGGUUGUAAACCUCUUUUGUUCGGGAAGAAAUGCGAUCAGGCGAAUAAUCUGGUCGUUUGACGGUACCGGACGAAUAAGCUCCGGCUAACUCCGUGCCAGCAGCCGCGGUAACACGGGGGGAGCAAGCGUUGUUCGGAAUCACUGGGCGUAAAGGGCGUGUAGGCGGUCAAGUAAGUGGAAUGUGAAAUGCCCCGGCUCACCCGGGGACCGGCAUCCCAAACUGCUUGGCUUGAGUAUGGGAGAGGUGAGUGGAAUUCCCGGUGUAGCGGUGAAAUGCGUAGAUAUCGGGAGGAUCACCUGUGGCGAAAGCGGCUCACUGGACCAUAACUGACGCUGAUGCACGAAAGCUGGGGGAGCAAACAGGAUUAGAUACCCCUGUAGUCAUCUUCUAGA